CUUCUUCAAUUUGCUGGGGACAUAUGAAAUGAACAUGACUAUCCAUGCCUCCGAAAGUGACGAUCUUAUUCUCAGCAGAUAUAACAUCAGUAGACGAGCCCACAACCAUGUUGUCUGUGAUACUAUCCAUUGUAUCAGGAUUACCAGAUUUACCGAUACCCACUAUGAAUCCAUUCUUGAUACCAAUAUCAGCCUUGAAGAUUCCGGUAUAGUCAAUAAUUAAGGCAUUGGUUAAGACAGUAUCGAGACACUCAUUCAUCGACUUUCCACUCGCUUGACCAGUUCCAUCACG
rnacentral:sRNA from 1 species